rnacentral:rRNA from 1 species
UAUUGGACAAUGGGGGGAACCCUGAUCCAGCGACGCCGCGUGAGUGAAGAAGUAUUUCGGUAUGUAAAGCUCUAUCAGCAGGGAAGAAAGAAAUUACGGUACCUGACUAAGAAGCCCCGGCUAACUACGUGCCAGCAGCCGCGGUAAUACGUAGGGGGCAAGCGUUAUCCGGAUUUACUGGGUGUAAAGGGAGCGUAGACGGUGAGGCAAGUCUGAAGUGAAAGCCCGGGGCUUAACCGCGGGACUGCUUUGGAAACUGUCUGACUAGAGUGCUGGAGAGGUAAGUGGAAUUCCUAGUGUAGCGGUGAAAUGCGUAGAUAUUAGGAGGAACACCAGUGGCGAAGGCGGCUUACUGGACAGUAACUGACGUUGAGGCUCGAAAGCGUGGGGAGCAAACAG